rnacentral:rRNA from 1 species
CCUACGGGCGGCUGCAGUCGAGAAUUAUUCACAAUGCGGGAAACCCUGAUGGUGCGACGCCGCGUGGGGGAAUGAAGGUCUUCGGAUUGUAAACCCCUGUCAUGUGGGAGCAAAUUAAAAAGAUAGUACCACAAGAGGAAGAGACGGCUAACUCUGUGCCAGCAGCCGCGGUAAUACAGAGGUCUCAAGCGUUGUUCGGAAUCACUGGGCGUAAGGCGUGCGUAGGCGGUUUCGUAAGUCGUGUGUGAAAGGCGCGGGCUCAACCCGCGGACGGCACAUGAUACUGCGAGACUAGAGUAAUGGAGGGGGAACCGGAAUUCUCGGUGUAGCAGUGAAAUGCGUAGAUAUUGAGAGGAACACUCGUGGCGAAGGCGGGUUCCUGGACAUUAACUGACGCUGAGGCACGAAGGCCAGGGGAGCGAAAGGGAUUAGAUCCCUAGUAGUC